GCAGCUGCAGUGGCAGCGCUGGGGAGCGCGUGUGUGUGCGCGUGUGCGCCUGUGUGCCCGAGUACUAGUUGUACUGUACUGGCAGGAUGCGAGCGGGCGGGGAAGGGGAUGCGAGCCCGGGGAGGAGGCGCGCGCACCGGGUGGAGAGCCAGGGAGGGCUUCGCCGCCGCCUCCCUCCCUCCCUCCGCGGCUUGACCCGGUAGUGAAGGCGGAGAGAGAGAGAGAGAGAGGCAGGCCCUGAGCCGCCCCGCAGCCUGCGGGAGGAGGCAGGAGCCGGGAAGGAGGGGAGCUGAGGCCCGGCGUGGGCAGGCGGGCGAAGAGGGCCCCGAUCCCAGGGUGGACCUGUCUUCAGCUUCCCUGAGAGCCCGGCUGCUUGCCAGCAGGACGCCCCGACUUGCACACUUCCUAGCGCGGAAGGAAACGGGAAUUCGGGGACCCGCUGGCGAGCCCGGUGCCUGGUGGCCCAUCUGUGGCGCUGCCAGCCUGCUGGGGCUCCAUCCCGCUACGGGGACGCUAGAGUUCGGAGUCCUAGGGUGAAACUGCGGAUGGCCUGGCAGCCAGAGCGGGUGGCGAGAGACUCCACUUAGGCUCUCUUCACUUUUACAGUCUCACAGUCCUCGCGAACUUCUCAGAAGUACCCCUCCGGCAAGGGAAAGUUAGAGGAAGGCGUCCGGUCGUCCUGGCUGCAGGAGGAAGCUGUAGCUGCUUCCCUCAUCACCUCCUUCUCAACAGACUAUGAAAGCCAGAAGCACCUGGGCAGAUAUCAUGCAGACACUAAGAGAC